CCUACGGGAGGCAGCAGUCGAGAAUCAUUCACAAUGGGGGAAACCCUGAUGGUGCGACGCCGCGUGGGGGAAUGAAGGUCUUCGGAUUGUAAACCCCUGUCAUGUGGGAGCAAAUUAAAAAGAUAGUACCACACGAGGAAGAGACGGCUAACUCUGUGCCAGCAGCCGCGGUAAUACAGAGGUCUCAAGCGUUGUUCGGAAUCACUGGGCGUAAAGCGUGCGUAGGCUGUUUCGUAAGUCGUGUGUGAAAGGCGCGGGCUCAACCCGCGGACGGCACAUGAUACUGCGAGACUAGAGUAAUGGAGGGGGAACCGGAAUUCUCGGUGUAGCAGUGAAAUGCGUAGAUAGCGAGAGGAACACUCGUGGCGAAGGCGGGUUCCUGGACAUUAACUGACGCUGAGGCACGAAGGCCAGGGGAGCGAAAGGGAUUAGAUACCCCGGUAGUC
rnacentral:rRNA from 1 species